rnacentral:RNase_P_RNA from 1 species
GUAGUUGGGUAACUGAGCCUUAUGGUUAGGAAAGUCCAUGCUAGCACAAUCUGAGAUGAUUGUAGUGUUUGUGCUUAGUGAAACAAUAAGCUAAGGCAUAGAAAUAUGACGGCGAAAGAAACCUAAGUCUUUUAAAGAUAUGGUGUAUUUCAUAAAGUGCCACAGAAACGAGUUCUAUAGAAAUAUAGAAAUGAAACGCUGGUAAACCCCACAAGCUAGAAACCCAAAUUUUGGUAGGGGAGCUUCAUUAGACGAAUAAGGAAGUCAAAAAGAAGGCAAAUUUUGCAGAUAAAUAGUUACCACCUAAAAUUUUAGGAACAGAACAUGGCUUAUAGAC